AGGAUAAACGCUGGCGGCGUGCCUUAUGCAUGCAAGUCGAACGUGAAGCCGGCUUCGGCUGGUGGAAAGUGGCGAACGGGUGAGUAACACGUAGGAACCUGCCCGGAAGUGGGGGAUAACUCCGCGAAAGCGGGGCUAAUACCGCAUGUGAUCGAAAGAUUAAAGCUUCGGCGCUUCCGGAGGGGCCUGCGGCGGAUUAGCUAGUUGGUGGGGUAACGGCCUACCAAGGCGACGAUCCGUAGCU
rnacentral:rRNA from 1 species